rnacentral:rRNA from 1 species
GACGAACGCUGGCGGCGUGCCUAACACAUGCAAGUCGAGCGAGUGAAUCUCCUUCGGGAGUGAAGCUAGCGGCGGACGGGUGAGUAACACGUGGGCAACCUGCCUCAUAGAGGGGAAUAGCCUUCCGAAAGGGAGAUUGAUACCGCAUAAGAUUGUAGCUUCGCAUGAAGUAGCAAUUAAAGGAGCAAUCCGCUAUGAGAUGGGCCCGCGGCGCAUUAGCUAGUUGGUGAGGUAAUGGCUCACCAAGGUGACGAUGCGUAGCCGACCUGAGAGGGUGAUCGGCCACAUUGGGACUGAGACACGGCCCAGACUCCUACGGGAGGCAGCAGUGGGGAAUAUUGCACAAUGGGGGAAACCCUGAUGCAGCAACGCCGCGUGAGUGAUGACGGCCUUCGGGUUGUAAAGCUCUGUCUUCAGGGACGAUAAUGACGGUACCUGAGGAGGAAGCCACGGCUAACUACGUGCCAGCCGCCGCAGUAACAC